CAACGAGUUAUACUAAGGUUUGGAAAGUACCAGAAGGGAGUGGCAUAUAAGUUACUACAGGAAUAUAGAAGAGGGGGUGUCAGAAACAGGGUCGCAUCCGAGCUAGAGGCUGAAGGUUGAGCAGAAGUUGGACAAGCUCAGGAUGGAUGCGGGUGGCCGUGCGAGGCAGAGAGAACAGCAGGAGUAUGGGCCUGAAGGUGAGGCUGCCCAGGGGAGGCUGGCACCAGCUUGGGACAGGCCUUUCAGCAGGGCGGUGGCAGGAGCAGCUCUGGGUCUUUGGAACAAGAGGAUGGAAUGGAGGGGGCCGAGGUUAAGGCCCCAGGGAACAGCUGGGAGGCAGCGGCCAGAGUUCCUGUGAGUCCAGGUCUGUUACAUUUCCCAGAAUGGUUCCCAGCGCUGGAGAUAAUUCCUUUUCGGAGAACCUACAUUUCUCACCUGCUGAUUGCAAUUAGCCACUGCCAGCUGGGGCCUGGUGUGCAGCUGAAAAGCUAACAAGAAGCGGAGACCACGCGGAACCCAGACAGGGCAGAGGAUGUGAAUGAAUAAGGGAUAGGGCCCAUGUGUUGGAGCUGCUCCCGUGAAUCCGAGGUUUCCCGACCCUCUGGAUGGCCCUCCCUCCUCCGGCUGUGUGCUCCCCACCCCUCCCCUUCACUACUUUUUUUUUUUUGUCUCUGGCUUUGUAGCCUACACUUAACAUCACAGGCACGAAUUUACCACUAAGUACAUUUUGUUAGGCAAUAAACAGCCUCGGAAGAAAAAUGAAAUCGGACUAGGGCUUCUGCUCCAAUCAUGUUUGUGAGCUGUGGUGGAAUCAGGCGGGCCCUGCGUGCAGGCCUUGGAACUAACCUUGAAUAUGAGGACUGGCAGGGCCUGGAGAGGCCUUGCGGACCACCGGAUCCGAACCCCUCGUCUUAUGGAUGAGGACAUGGAAUCCCAGAGGAAGGGGAGCAUGACUCAUCCGAAGUCUUGGAGGAGGUCACAGGGCUGGCUGAAGUCCACGUCUCCUGACCUCCAGCCCAGGGCUCUAACCACUGAACUGCCUUGCCUUUGCCCGUCCUCUCGAGUUUGUGAGGAAAGCACCAAGGAGAUCGCCAAGGGUUGGAAGUGUUUUCUGAACAACUCUCGGGAUCCGGUUUUCGAGCCAGCAAAUGAACUGGCGCUCGUCAUCCAUCUUCAUCACCAUUAG
rnacentral:lncRNA from 1 species